GCUUACGGCCAUACCACCCUGAGAACGCCCGAUCUCGUCUGAUCUCGGAAGCUAAGCAGGGUCGGGCCUGGUUAGUGCUUGGAUGGGAGACCGCCUGGGAAUACCAGAUGCUGUAAGCU
rnacentral:rRNA from 1 species